CGUGUAGGCGGCCUUUUAAGUCAGGCGUGAAAUCUCUGGGCUUAACCCAGAAAUUGCGUUUGAAACUGGAGGGCUUGAGGAUCGGAGAGGACAGUGGAAUUCCCAGUGUAGCGGUGAAAUGCGUAGAUAUUGGGAGGAACACCAGUGGCGAAGGCGACUGUCUGGACGACACCUGACGCUGAGGCGCGAAAGCUAGGGGAGCAAACGGGAUUAGAUACCCCGGUAGUCCUAGCCGUAAACGAUGGGUACUAGGUGUGGGAGGUAUCGACCCCUUCCGUGCCGCAGUUAACACAAUAAGUACCCCGCCUGGGGAGUACGGCCGCAAGGUUGAA
rnacentral:rRNA from 1 species